AUUGAACGCUGGCGGCAGGCCUAACACAUGCAAGUCGAACGAGUGGCGGACGGGUGAGUAACGUCUGGGAAACUGCCUGAUGGAGGGGGAUAACUACUGGAAACGGUAGCUAAUACCGCAUACCAUCAGAUGUGCCCAGAUGGGCUUAGCUAGUUGGUGGGGUAACGGCUCACCAAGGCGACGAUCCCUAGCUGGUCUGAGCGGAUGAACAGCCACACUGGGACUGAGACACGGUCCAGACUCCUACGGGAGGCAGCAGUGGGGAAUAUUGCACAAUGGACGCAAGCCUGAUGCAUCCAUGCCGCGUGUAUGAAGAAGGCUUUCGGGUGGUAAAGUACUUUCAGCGGGGAGGCGUUACCCGAAGAAGAAGCACCGGCUAACUCCGUGCCAGCAGCCGCGGUAAUAG
rnacentral:rRNA from 1 species